UACGUAGGUGACAAGCGUUGUCCGGAUUUACUGGGCGUAAAGAGCGCGCAGGCGGUCGUACAAGUCGCGUGUGAAAGCCCCCGGCUCAACUGGGGAGGGUCACGCGAUACUGUUCGACUCGAAGGCAGGAGAGGGUAGUGGAAUUCCCGGUGUAGUGGUGAAAUGCGUAGAUAUCGGGAGGAACACCAGUGGCGAAGGCGACUACCUGGCCUGUUCUUGACGCUGAGGCGCGAAAGCUAGGGUAGCAAACGGG
rnacentral:rRNA from 1 species